rnacentral:rRNA from 1 species
ACUCAAAGGAAUUGACGGGGGCCCGCACAAGCGGCGGAGCGUGCGGUUUAAUUCGACGCAACGCGCAGAACCUUACCAGGGCUUGACAUGCGACUGCAGAGCCGGGAAACCGGUUGGCCUUUGAGGGUGUCGCACAGGUGCUGCAUGGCUGUCGUCAGCUCGUGUCGUGAGAUGUUGGGUUAAGUCCCGCAACGAGCGCAACCCUCGGGGGUAGUUGUCGAUGUUUCUACCCCGACUGCCGCGAGCAACGCGGAGGAAGGUGGGGAUGACGUCAAGUCAGCAUGGCCCUUACGUCCUGGGCUACACGCACGCUACAAUGGGGGGGACAAUGGGUAGCCAAGCGGCAACGCGGAGCGAAUCCCCGCAAAACCCCUUCUCAGUUGGAAUUGUGGGCUGCAACUCGCCCGCAUGAACGUGGAGUCGCUAGUAACCGCCGGUCAGCACUACGGCGGUGAAUACGUUCCCGGGCCUUGUACACACCGCCCGU